AGAGCGAACGCUGGCGGCAGGCCUAACACAUGCAAGUCGAGCGCCCGUAGCAAUACGGGAGCGGCAGACGGGAGAGUAACACGUGGGAACGCGCCCUUCGGUUCGGAAUAACUCAGGGAAACUUGAGCUAAUACCGGAUACGCCCUUACGGGGAAAGAUUUAUUGCCGAAGGAACGGCCCGCGUCCGAUUAGCUAGUUGGUGAGGUAAUGGCUCACCAAGGCGACGAUCGGUAGCUGGUCUGAGAGGAUGACCAGCCUCACUGGGACUGAGACACGGCCCAGACUCCUACGGGAGGCAGCAGUGGGGAAUAUUGGACAAUGGGCGCAAGCCUGAUCCAGCCAUGCCGCGUGAGUGAUGAAGGCCUUAGGGUUGUAAAGCUCUUUUAGCAGGGAAGAUAAUGAGGUACCUGCAGAAAAGCCAGGCUAACUUCGUGCCAGCAGCCGC
rnacentral:rRNA from 1 species